UGAGACCUCAGGUCAGGCGGGGCUACCCGCUGAAUUUAAGCAUAUCAAUAAGCGGAGGAAAAGAAACUAACAAGGAUUCC
rnacentral:rRNA from 48 species